UUCCUUAUCCUUUAUCCAUCUCCUAAAUUUUCACUGAAAAAAGCAAUUGCAAACCUUUCCCAUACUUUUUUCUUCCCUUAUGACCAAACAAAACCAGUUUCUUCUCCCACUCCAGCCUGUGUCUUGGUUACUGGAUGUGGUUUCCGGUAAAAUUAAUUCCUCAAGUUCCCAGUGACCUUCCUACAGGAGAAAGCCCAGGCAGGCAGCUCUGCAGUGAGGAAAUAGCCAGCUCAGCAACAGGAGAGAGGAGACAGCACCAAAAUACCACAGACAGCUGCUAAGCACAAACUAUUAGAGGCUAUUAGAGGGUUGCAGCUGCUCCUCUGAUUAAGAGACAAGAACAGAAAGAAUGGCGAGAGGGGGAUUAAGAUCUGAAAGAGCCUGUCCUGCAUGUCCAGGGGUGAGGGAUGUAACAUAUGUUUGCUCUUCCUCUUGCAGCACAGGCUGGGCUGUGCAGUUCAUUCACUGUCCAGCCUGAGCUGACACUCAGCUCCUGGGCAAGGCCAUGCUCUUUCCAGCUCUUUCUUCCCACUGCCUGAACCAGGACUAGAUGCUCAUGUUAUGCCAGGAGUCCUGGCUGCACCACACAACCCCUCAUGGGUCUCCUGGCUCUACUGCAAAGGUGGAGUUGUUACAAACUGAGCUGAACAAGCCAUGCUCCUACUCCAUCAUCUCCUUCAACACGACCAAGGACCUCAGCAGCAUGAAUUCAGGACUCCUGCCCUACUACUAGAAUCAUCCCUUCCUUCCUUCCUGCCUUCCUAUCUGGGUCCAGCUGCUGAGGCAGGUCUCAUCCCACAUCCCCAGACUCCAGUGUGUGGUCCAGGAGGGCAAAAAUGGGUGGUGGAGAACUGCAGCAGACCAGUAUUUGGGAUCACUCUGCUUGCUGCAGGAUGCUAAGAGAGAAGCACCCUGAAGUGGGAAGUGAGACAGGGUGUGAGCUCAGUAGCCAUAAAGAACGGUGCCUUGCCCAGAUAAGAAAUGUGUAGUGGCUUCUGGAGAUGACUCCUUCUCCUACCCCUCUAAGGAACAGAAUGAGGCAGUCACCAGGCCUCAUUGUACAGCCAGAUGAGAGGCUGGCCCUUUGCAACAUAAGACCUCAAAAUUGCUAUCAUCAAUCAGAAGGUUCAGAAAGCCCAGAACCCCCCAAACUCUUUAGCUUUCAAAUGGGUGCCCUACCAAUUACUUGGACAUCUUAUUUUUGGGCUCUGCAUUAUUGACGUAGUGGAGGGAAUUGAUCUCCCCAAAAUCUGUGUUUCAUUUUUUAACCAACUAUUCCCUGGACAUGAUCUGCAGACACCAUGGGCUGGCAGUAAGAAAGUGCAUAAAACUGAAGGCUUUGUACUUUGAAGCCCUUUUCACAUUAUGCCAUCUUGCCUAGGAGCUCAGCUGGACAUAGAGGGAAGAGGGUCACCCAGAAAUCUUGAGUUGCACCAGCAGCAGGAUAAAGACAAGCUGGUACUGCAGAGCUGGUGCAAGCUCUCCAGGUGUUAGCUGGGGUGUAACCAGCCAAGGAUUGAUGGCUUUCCUGGG